rnacentral:rRNA from 1 species
UCUUGACAUCCCCCUGAACAGUCUGGAGACAGGCUGGGCCUUCGGGACAGGGGAGACAGGUGGUGCAUGGUUGUCGUCAGCUCGUGUCGUGAGAUGUUGGGCUAAGUCCCGCAACGAGCGCAACCCUUAGUUUUAGUUGCCAGCAUUUCGGAUGGGCACUCUAAAGCGACUGCCGGUGACAAACCGGAGGAAGGUGGGGAUGACGUCAAAUCAUCAUGCCCCUUAUGACCUGGGCUACACACGUACUACAAUGGCCGGUACAACGGGCUGCGAAACCGCGAGGUGGAGCUAAUCCUAGAAAAAGCCGGUCUCAGUUCGGAUUGCAGGCUGCAACUCGCCUGCAUGAAGUCGGAAUUGCUAGUAAUCGCGGAUCAGCAUGCCGCGGUGAAUACGUUCCCGGGUCUUGUACACACCGCCCGUCACACCACGAGAGUUUGCAACACCCGAAGUCGGUGAGGGAACCCUCGGGACCCAGCCGCCGAAGGUGGGGCAGAUGAUUGGGGUGAAGUCGUAACAAGGUAAGCGUAGUGCU